CCCACUCCCCCACCCCACCUGCCAGCUCAAGUGAUCCUCCCUCCCAAGUGACUGGGACCACAGGUGUACACCACCACACCCAGCCAUUUUUUUUUUUUUUGUAUUUUUAGUAGAAAUUGGGUCUCACCAUGUUGCCCAGGCUAGUCUCAGACACCUGAGCUCAAGUUAUCCACCCACCUCAGCCUCCCAAAGUGCUAGGAUUACAGGCAUGAGACACUGUGCCCGGCUGAAAUUUUUAAGAUUAUUGUAGUGGACCACCAAUUUGGUGGCCCACACUGAACUAUUUCUCUAAGUAUUUAUACCCUUAUGUAGUCCCCUACCCCUCUUGAAUCUGAGCUGGCUGUGAUCUGCUUUAAUUAACAGGAUACAGUAGAAGUGGUGUUGUGCCAAUUCCAGGGGUAAGGCCAAGAAGAGCUGGCAGUUUCUGCUUUUGUGAUUUUGAGAUCCCUUAGCUACCAUGAGCAAAGACCUGCUACUCUGCUGCAGAAAUCAUGUGGGGAGUCCACUCUGAAAGGGAGUGGCCCUAAGACUACAGGGAAAGGGAGAGAAGCUCAGACAUUCCAGUAUCCCAAAGAACCCAGUCUCCAGCCAACCCAACUGAAUACAGACACGUGAGUGAACACCAGCAAGACCAGAAGACCAUCCAGCUAAGCCCAGUUCAGAUUGUAGAAUUGUGGGCAAAUAGCCAUUUGGUUGUUUUAAGCCACUAGUUUGGGGUUGUUUUUUUUUUUUUUUUAAAUACGAGCAACUGGUAACUUAAACAUCUCAUCACUUCUGAAGACAGGCAAGGAAUAUAUGAUCUUCCAAAGCAGUUUCAAGAUACUUUAAUAGAAUACAUGUUUAGACAUUUAAAAUCAAGCAGAGGCCAGGUGUGGUGGCUCACACCUGUAAUCCUAGGCAUUUUGGCAGGCCAAGACCGGAGGAUCAUUUGAGCCCAGGAGUUCGAGAUCGGCCUGUACAACACAGUGAGACCUCGCCUGUACAAAAAAAAAAAAAAAAACAAAAAAAA
rnacentral:lncRNA from 1 species